rnacentral:rRNA from 1 species
AUUAAACGCUGGCGGCAUGCCUUACACAUGCAAGUCGAACGGCAGCACGGGGGCAACCUUGGUGGCGAGUGGCGAACGGGUGAGUAAAGCAUCGGAACGUGCCCUGGAGUGGGGGAUAACGUAGCGAAAGUUACGCUAAUACCGCAUAUUCUGUGAGCAGGAAAGCAGGGGAUCGCAAGACCUUGCGCUCUGGGAGCGGCCGAUGUCGGAUUAGCUAGUUGGUGGGUAAAGGCCUACCAAGGCGACGAUCCGUAGCGGGUCUGAGAGGAUGAUCCGCCACACUGGGACUGAGACACGGCCCAGACUCCUACGGGAGGCAGCAGUGGAGAAUUUUGGACAAUGGGCGAAAGCCUGAUCCAGCCAUGCCGCGUGUCUGAAGAAGGCCUUCGGGUUGUAAAGGACUUUGUCAGGGAGGCAAAACUUAGAGGUUAAUAACCUUUGAGGUUGAGAGUACCUGAAGAAUAAGCACCGGCUAACUACGUGCCAGCAGCCGCGGUAA